rnacentral:rRNA from 1 species
UACGUAGGUGGCGAGCGUUAUCCGGAAUCAUUGGGCGUAAAGAGGGAGCAGGCGGCCGGAAGGGUCUAACGUUAAAAGGCAGCAGCUUAACUGCUGUAGGGCGAAGAAACCGAUCGGCUAGAGUUCUAUAGAGGAUCGUGGAAUUCCAUGUGUAGCGGUGAAAUGCGUAGAUAUAUGGAGGAACACCAGUGGCGAAGGCGACGAUCUGGAUAGAAACAGACGCUGAGUCCCGAAAGCGUGGGGAGCAAAUAGG